AAAAACUAACAGUUUUAGCUCAAAACCUAUAGGUCGAUUAAACCACUUACAACGGAACAUUAAGCUUUCUACACGAAACUUGAGGAAAAAUGAGCGUUAAAAUGUGACUUUGAUUUUAAGCUUUAAACCCAUAUUCGACGAAAAACAGGAAGUUUCCACUCUUAUCUCGAAAUUUCAAAUUCCACUUUAAAUACUCAGAUUUGAACAAAACGCUUCGCACAAAAUGUAUCCUUCAAAUUUAUAAAAUUUUUGGAAUCGUUAACUAUACAUACAAAUUCUCAGUUCAAUAGUUUUAGUUGUACAGAUGAAACCUCCGAUAUUCUUGUUUCGACACCCACAGAUGGACGACAUGGCACAUAAUAGUCGACUUUUGCUUUAAGGAAACGCAGUAGAAACGUCUCACGGACUCCGAGAUUUCAGGAUGUCGUUAUCGUUUUACCAACAAUUUUCCUAUUCAUGAACUCUUCUUGGGUAUAGAAAAUGUUUUAUUACAGGUUAGAAUAUCGUCUCUUAGGAUGACUAACAACAUCUUAUAUCGUUGCUUAUUUUGGAGUUUUUCCAUGCGUAAUUUCCCACUUUCUACAAUGAAAAGUUUACACCACCGGCGUAGAACU